rnacentral:rRNA from 1 species
AUUGAACGCUGGCGGCAGGCCUAACACAUGCAAGUCGAGCGGUAGAGAGGAGCUUGCUUCUCUUGAGAGCGGCGGACGGGUGAGUAAUGCCUAGGAAUCUGCCUGGUAGUGGGGGAUAACGUUCGGAAACGGACGCUAAUACCGCAUACGUCCUACGGGAGAAAGUGGGGGAUCUUCGGACCUUACGCUACCAGAUGAGCCUAGGUGGUAGUAGAUAGUUGGUGAGGUAAAGGCUCAACAAGGCGACGAUCCGUAACUGGUCUGAGAGGAUGAUCAGUCACACUGGAACUGAGACACGGUCCAGACUCCUACGGGAGGCAGCAGUGGGGAAUAUUGGACAAUGGGCGCAAGCCUGAUCCAGCCAUGCCGCGUGUGUGAAGAAGGUCUUCGGAUUGUAAAGCACUUUCGUCAGGGAAGAAACAGCAGCUCUAAUACAGUUUGCGAAUGACGGUACCUGAAGAAUAAGCACCGGCUAACUACGUGCCAGCCGCCGCCGUAACAC